rnacentral:tRNA from 1 species
GGAGAGAUGGCUCAGUGGUUAAGAGCACUGACUGCUCUUCCAGAGGUCCUGAGUUCAAUUCCCAGCAACUACA